GUAUAAUGAUGAAAUCCAUGCGUGUCAACUGACUCUGGAAAUGCCUUGUGUUUUGCUGCCCCAGUCAGCGUUCUGCAGACUGGGGUCAGUCAGGACAACAAGGAUCCAGAGUAAUGAUCAGAACCUCACUGUCUGAAUAC
ensembl:snoRNA SNORD10 small nucleolar RNA SNORD10